rnacentral:tRNA from 1 species
AGGCGCGUAGCUCAGGGGUAGAGCGCUACCUUGACACGGUAGAGGUCGGCGGUUCAAGACCGCCCGUGCCUACCA